CUCGAAGAAGUAGAAGAGUGGGAUGGAAUUGAAAGGAGAUCAGUGGGAGAAGAAGAUGCCACCACAACUUCAAUAAUAUCCAUGAUGCCACAACUUCGAUGGUUGAGAAUUAUCAAUUGCCCGUUGCUGAGAGCACUACCAGACUAUGUUUUGGCAGCGCCUCUACAGGAAUUAGACAUAAGGUGGUGCACCAUUCUAAGGAAACGUUACGGGAAGGAGGAGAUGGGUGAAGAUUGGCAAAAGAUUUCUCACUUCCCAAACAUUUAUUUUGAAUAAUAUGUAAGCCUUACCAUUUACUCUAUGUGACCUCUUUACUGUAAAAUCCAAGACCUAUCACUGAUCAUGGCAAGACUCACUCCUCUAUUUCCAGAUCCAAAAAUGUCAAGAUAUUUUUAAUUCUUUAAUUCUAUGAAUAAAAACAUAGAUAUUGAAUUUUUUUUUUAAUCUUUCAUAAAUUGAAUUCAAUUUUCGAAAACUUUCUACAAAUCUAAAUAUGGAUAUUGAAAACGACAUCAAAAUAGGAACUUUCAUAGGUUUCCACACACUCCCAUAUGCCUUGAGCUUAAGCGCAGGUGGACAUCUUUUUUUUCUUUUUCUUUUUUUCCAAGACAAAUGCUGCAACCUAUUAAUCAUCCAUGAGCCAUGUGUGCAUACCGCACGCCUCCUUACAGGGCAUCUUCACUGCCGGACUGGUGGGAUUCAUAUAGACUUCAUAUGUGCUACUUUGAGGCUCCAUAUCUCCGUUUCUAGUGUUCUUGAACUCGUCAGAGAGCUUACACUGCAUGCUAUCUAUAACAACAGAUAUCAAGCACAGACAAUAAAGCAUAAGAAAAUUACAAGACAGAAAAACCAAUUCAUCGUAAUUCAAACGCUGAAAUCUCUCAGCAUACAAGUCCAAUUUACACGCCAUUUCCCAGAUUUAGUGCUCGUGGCAGAUGCACAUGAGGUAAUCAUUUCAUGCUAUUUGAUGCUUUCUAAAGUUACCAUAUAUGUCCAUAAUACGAGUUUGAAACAGAAACUGAUGCAAACAGCCAUAUUAAUCAUCCAUGAGCCAAAAAUUAAGAACUGCAAGAGUAAAAUGAACUGACUUCUUACUGCAAAAUGUGAACAGGCAAACGGUGGAUUUGGAAAUCAAGGGGGCAAGAAAAACCUUGUAAUUCAAAUAGGUGCACAGGCUAGGUGUGACAACCCUUUUAAUUCAUGAUCAGUGUAAAAUAUCUAUGGUUGUGGUAAUGCUAAUUAGAGUUGUUGAAUUAUAUUGCAAUGCAAUUCCAUGAUGUAAAAGUAUUUUUCAACUUGGAUUAAACUCACUUAAUUAGUUUAUUAAUUUGUACAAAAAUAGUUUUAUUUCAUAAAAUCUCAUAAAAUAGAAAUUACAAAUAGUAAUUCAACUCAUAAUUUCAUGCUCUCUCUUAUAUAAAAUUUUAAUUUGAACUAAACUAUUCUUUAUAGAAUGAAGUAUUAUUGCUUUCCAUCUAGAAAUGAAACACAAUAAAUUAUUUCAUAAAACAAUACAUGCAAAAUAAUUCAAUACUACUUAUAAAAGAAAAACCAUUUUAAAGUAUUAAGUCAAAAAUUCAGGAUGUUUUAAAGUAAUCCCUAGUAAUUUUGAUUUUCUCAUAAAUCUAAUUUUAUUGAGUGAAUGAAAGAUUUCAAAUAUAUAGUACGUAGUAUAUAAAUAAUUUUCUGAACCAAAGAAAGAUUUCAAAUAUAUAGUACGUAGUAUAUAAAUAAUUUUCUGAACCAAAGAAAAAACAGAAUUUUAGGAGUGAUUUAAAAUCAUGAACUAGAAUUUAAGUAUUCAAGUUGAGCAUAUUAAAUUUGAAUUCCCAGUCGUUCAAGUGCAUGGGACACAAAUCCUUCUUCAAGAAUCGUUGUGUUUUCUUCCCCUCGGAACCCAUUAAAACAUGGAGCCCAAAAGUAUUUAGAUUGCCCAAUUCACCAAGUCAUAAUGAGAGAACCCAAGCCCAAGCAGAGUACUCUGGGCUAAUUCAUUUUAUUUAGUACUAUGAUUAUUAUAUGCACUCCAUUAAUUAUUAGUUCCACUUCAUUUUGUAGCCACGAUGAUCAAUUAUGCAUAUGACCUCACCUCAACACUAGUUUUGUACCCGCACUCUGCAAUGAGGUGCAUAUAGUGUUUUUUCAGAGCAUCAAAGCAUUGACUAAGAAAGACUGACUGAAUUGAAACAGAACGCAACGAGACUUUUGGGUUUGAAACUAAUCCAGUGAAGACAGCAAAUAACCUUCUUCUUUUUUUUUUGUAAGGGAAGGCAAAUAGAAUGAGUUUAAAGCAUAAUGACUUAAUUGCAAAAUGCAUAUGAAUGCAGUUUUUUGACAAGGGAGUUUGGUGUUCCUGAAGCAGCAACAAUGGCUGCUAAGCUACGCAUAAUUUGUUGUCUUGUUCCCAACAAUGCCAUUCUGAUCCCAAACGCUGCUGAGUCUAGCAUGCUGAUUUCCUCACUAAUUUCGAUCUGAAUUUCAAUUUCCAGAUUUCAUAACCUUAGCCCUUAUUUUAGUAACCAAACAACUCUCUUCCUAUGUUCCUGCAUCUGCAUGUCGACUCUUCACUCUCUGAUUCCUGAAUCUUGAAAAGACUCUUCCUUUGUUUUUCUAGUUGUCUUGCGUUAUGUUUCUAGCUAAAAGAAGAAAUAAGUGACUUAAAUUAUGAAAAAGUAGAAAAAGACAAUGAAAGAAGUGCCUUAAAUCACGUUAAGUUAAGAAAGGAAUGAAAAGAAAAAAAGAAGAAAGGAAGGUGAUGUAGUCCAUACAAAAUGAAUCCUUUCCUCCAGAAAAUCUUGCUCAUUUCUUGUCCUUUUCACACCCAUUUGCUCCCCUUCACAAACAAACCUCCCCAUUUAAAGGAGCUCCAAUCACGCAAACCAGCAAUCCUUCCCAACUUUUUUCCAUGACCACAGCACGCUACUGAUAUCCACACAGCCCCAGCUUCAGACAGCUUCCAUCACGCAGACCCUUUCCUGUUAACACAACCGCAGAGCCUGUAGCUGCCGCCAACAAAACCCCAGCAUCCUCUCCAUGAAUAAACCAAAACACAUCCCUGCUCAUCCACUGAUAACUCCUUAAACUACCCAGAUACAUGACUUCCAAAAGGUAUAUGAUUUUUAAAGUUAAAUGUAACCUCUAAAAGUAUGGAGAGUUGGGGACUUGAAUUAUUCUUUGCACGGUGACAAAUGAAUUCUAGAAUUUAGAUUUUUAUUUCCCAUCUAAAUAUUAAAAUAUUUGACAUUAAAGAUAUUUUAAUAUAUUUUUAAACAAAAAAAUAUAUAUAAAAAAUACUUUACAGCAUAAUUUCAAGCACCAUCAACAAAUCCAAUCAUACAACCUCAACAAAUCUGGACCAUCCAUUUUCAGACCCAAAAUCAAAGAUCAAUAUCAAACCCCAGUCCCUGCUAUGAAAACAGGAUAAAAUCACCAGAUCUCAAAAACCCAGAUAGAUAGAUGCUUGUUUAUAUUUCCAUUACACAAGAACUAAUUGGUUACUAAUUUUGGUUUGUUUAAAUUAGUUUGAAUGGCCAGAUAUAUAUUACAUAAAAUGAAGAGAAGAAAUAGAGAAGCAGGAAUUUCAGUAGAAUGCUAUAAUCAGAUGUCCAUAUCAGAUACAUUCUUAACCUACGGUCAGUAUCAAUAAAAAAUAAUUGCUAUAUAUCGAAGAAGAAAUUACUUUCCACAAAUAAUAAUCCUUAGCCUAGAACUCGGUAGAAUUGAAAAGCACGAGUGUUUCACCUUUGGAACUCAAAAUGGCAUGUCAUUCUCAGUAGAAACAUACAACCAGGACUAGACUGAAAAGCUACAAUAAUAUAGGGACUGAAUUGAAGUGUUAGAAACAGUACAGGGACUGAAACAAAACUCAACCCCCAUCACCAAACCCUAAGUACAUAAACUAACUAAACCAGCAGCCUCCUUCCACUCACACUCUCUUCUCUCUCUUUCUCAGUUCAUCCUAACAUCAUUGUCUAUUUUUUAAAAAUAAUUAAAUUAAACAGACAAAUGGCAGAGGCACUUUUAUCGCCAAUUUUGGAGCAGCUAACCACGGUCGUUGCUCGACAGGUAAUUACUUUUAUACAAUUUGCAAUGAUCUAAUUAACCCUUACAUUAAUAAGAAAUAUAAAAAUGAUCUCUUUUUCUUUCUUUAUAAGAAAAACAAAAUAAAAUAUCAAAUCCUCAGAUCUAGAUUUGGAUUUUAUUAAAGAAAUUUCUAUUUAUUGUUUUAUUAUUUUUCAUAUUUCUGGAAAUAAUCUAAAACAAAUAUUCUUAGAAGGAAAAUGGAGUUGUCGAUCCUCUCAUAAAACUGAACUACUAAGGGUAAAAUAAUCAAUCAGAUGUUAAAAUAAUAAGUUUCAUAAUCUUAUUAUAAUACCAACAAAUAUUUAUUUCCAAAUAGAUUUUACGAAUACCAACAAAUACAGAUCCUUUUAUUCUCAAUAUUUCUUUGAUCCACCAAGCUUAUGUUAUAUAUAGGUUUGACGUUGAACAAUUUAAGAUUCAUUUUCUUCCUUCUUGUAUAGUAGCAGAGUGCAGACAGAGAUAUCAUCAUGAUGAUGAUAAAAAUAAAUAUUAUUAUUUUUAAUAUAUUGGUUUUUAAUAAAUAUUUUAUAUAUAAAUUAUUAAUAUAGCCAAUCCAUUUCACAGUACGUGUCAACUACUGCGAAAAAAAACAGAUUAAUAAAAAUUAUCUAAUCUAUUAAUUACCAAAAAUUAAAAUUAAAAACUUGCAGUGAAAUCAUGGAAAUGUUUCCUCUGCUUGAACUUCUUUAUCUUUUCCACACUAAUAGGUACGAGAAGAGGCCUAGUGGGGGAUGUGAAGAAACAAGUCGACAAGCUGAAAAGCAAUCUCCUUGCUAUCCAAUCUGUCCUUGAAGAUGCAGAUAGACAACAAGUGAAGGAUAAGGCUGUAAGAGAUUGGCUAAACAAGCUCAAAGAUGUAUGUUAUGAUUUGGAUGACGUGCUCGAUGAAUGGAGCACUGCAAUUCUUAGAUGGAAAAUGGAGGAAGCUGAAGAAAAUACUCGCAGCCGACAGAAGAUGCGAUGUUCCUUCCUGAAAUCUCCUUGCUUCUGUCUCAAUCAAGUGGUUCAACGUCGCGACAUUGCCCUCAAGAUCAAAGAAGUUAGUGAAAAAGUGAAUGACAUUGCCAAAGAGAGAGCAAUGUUUGGCUUUGAGUUGUACAGAGUCACUGAUGAACUCCAGCGACUAACAACUACCUCCUUUGUUGAUGAAUCAAGCGUGAUUGGUCGAGAUGGUGAAAAGAAAAAUGUUGUAAGCAAGUUGCUGGCUGAAAGUAGUCAAAAAGCACGGGACGUGGAUGUCAUCUCUCUAGUAGGGCUGGGCGGAAUUGGAAAAACAACUCUCGCCCAACUAGCUUUUAAUGAUUCUGAGGUUACGGCUCAUUUUGAGAAAAAGAUAUGGGUGUGUGUUUCAGAUCCAUUUGAUGAGGUUAAAAUAGCCAAAGCUAUCCUUGAGCAGCUUGAAGGGAGUGCACCGAAUUUGGUUGAAUUGCAAUCCCUUUUGCAAAGGGUUUCUGAAUCCAUUAAGGGAAAGAGGUUCCUUCUUGUCCUUGAUGAUGUAUGGACAGAAAAUCAUGGACAAUGGGAAAAACUGAAACCAUCUCUCACAGGCUGUGCACGAGGAAGCAGAAUUCUAGUGACCACUCGUAAGGACGCUGUGGCAACGAUGAUGGGAAGUACUGGCCACCGGAUCAACAUUAAGGAAUUGUCCGACGAGAUAUGCAGGUCAAUAUUCAAUCAUGUGGCAUUCCAGGAAAGAAGCAAAGAUGAGCGCGAAAGAUUGACAGAUAUCGGCGAGAAGAUUGCAAGCAAGUGCAAGGGCUUGCCUCUAGCUGCCAAGGUAUUAGGAGGUCUGAUGCAGUUUAAAAGAACAAGAGAAGAGUGGGAACGUGUUUUAUCUAGCGAACUGUGGGAGCUAGAACAUGUUGAAAGGAGACUAUUUCCACCUUUGCUUUUGAGUUACUACGAUUUACCUUAUGUGGAAAGACGAUGUUUCUUGUAUUGUGCCAUGUUUCCAAAAGACUACGACAUGCGCAAAGAUGAAUUGGUGAAGAUGUGGAUGGCUCAAGGUUACCUGAAGGAGACAUCAGGUAGAGAUAUGGAGGUUGUUGGAGAGGAGUACUUUCAAGUCUUGGUAGCACGCUCUUUCUUCCAAGAUUUUAAGAAGUAUGGUCUAGAAAAUAUCAGAUUCAAGAUGCAUGAUAUAGUGCAUGAUUUUGCCCAAUAUAUGACAAAAAAUGAAUGUCUAACAGUGGAUGUCAAUACACUUGGAGGAGCAACAGUGGAGACUUCAUUUGAAAGGGUUCGUCAUUUAAGCAUGAUGCUGUCAGAGGAGACAUCUUUUCCCGUGUCUAUUCACAAAGCCAAAGGUCUUCGCAGCCUCUUGAUCGACACUAGAGACCCUUCGCUUGGAGCUGCACUGCCUGAUUUGUUCAAGCAGUUGACAUGCAUCCGGUCAUUGGAUUUGUCAAAGUCUUCUAUCAAAGAAAUACCGAACGAGGUAGGGAAAUUGAUACAUUUGAGACACCUCAAUCUGGCAUCUUGUGGAGAGUUGGAGUCCCUGCCAGAAACCAUGUGUGAUUUAUGCAAUCUGCAAUCCCUAGACGUUACUUGGUGUGGUUCUCUCAAGAAAUUGCCUAAUGCGAUUGGAAAACUUAUCAAAUUGAGGCAUCUCCGGAUUAAUGGUUCAGGUGUGGACUUCAUACCAAAGGGAAUAGAGAGGAUAGCAUGUCUUCGAACAUUAAAUGUGUUUAUUGUGUGUGGUGGUGGUGAGAAUGAAAGUAAAGCAGCUAAUCUAAGAGAAUUAAAAAACUUAAAUCACAUUGGAGGGAGUCUUGGGAUACGGAAUCUACAAGAUGCGAGUGACGCUGCAGAAGCACAACUCAAGAAUAAGAAGCGCCUGCUUCGUUUGGAAUUGGAUUUCGACUACAACCAGGAGAGCGGCAUUUUAAUUGAAGCUUUACGGCCUCCGUCUGACUUGAAAUAUCUAACCAUAUCUAGGUACGGAGGGUUGGAAUUGCCAAGUUGGAUGAUGACAUUAACCAGAUUACAGGAGCUUAUACUGUCUGAUUGUACAAAGCUGGAGGUCAUGCGUCCGUUGGGAAGAUUGCCCAACCUUGAAAGCCUGGUAUUGAGGUCGUUGAAGGUGAGAAGGCUGGAUGGUGGAUUUUUAGGUAUAGAAAAAGAUGAGAAUGCCAGUAUUAAUGAAGGAGAAAUUGCAAGGGUCACUGCUUUCCCCAAAUUAAAAACACUUUGGAUUGGUAAUCUCGAAGAAGUAGAAGAGUGGGAUGGAAUUGAAAGGAGAGUGGGAGAAGAAGAUGUCAACACAACUUCAAUAAUAUCCAUUAUGCCACAACUUCGAUGGUUGACAAUUCUUAACUGCCCGUUGCUGAGAGCACUACCAGACUAUGUUUUGGCAGCGCCUCUACGGGUAUUAGACAUAUGGGGUUGCCCCAUUCUAAGGAAACGUUACGGGAAGGAGGAGAUGGGUG
rnacentral:lncRNA from 1 species